rnacentral:ribozyme from 1 species
UACCCAGCAAAUCCUAUCGCUACCUCCUAGUGGUACUGGCCGGGGUACGAGUAACCUUAGGGAAGAUCAACCCCGGUGGG